AAAACCAAAAAAGGUUGGGUUUUGCCUUUUCUAAUACGAUUUUUAGAAAUAUGUUUAAAAUGAUCUCUUGAAUAGGGAUGUCUGACUUUGGCAGUAUGGCAGACGGCAUUUCCUGAAACCCUGUGUCAACAGAAUAUCCAAAAAAGUCAGGUUAAAAAAAAUAACGCCAGAUAAAACGUAAAACCCUAGGUAAACGUGCAGGGACGUGAGGCGAGGAGCCAGGCACCAGCAAAGGCUCAAGGCAGGAGGCCCCAGGGGGUGUGGACCCAGGGGCCUGGGACUGGGCACAGACGACGACAGCCAAAUGGAGGCCCCACCAAGGAGCCGGGCGCAGAGGGCAGUCCUCACGGGCGAGGGAAAGUCGGAAAAGCCCCUCUGCUGAGUGGCAGCGUGCAGUGCCGCCGUUCCUGACGGUGGCUCCGGGUGGAUCGUUCAGAAACUCACUGGCCAGCCCCUGCACUCGUUCUGAGUUUAUACUACUUGCAAGUCGAGCUGGAGCCACAGUGCGCCCGGGCGUCUGGGAGGAGCAAGCGCGAAGCCUCACGGGAACCUGCAACCCCGAGCUCAAGGAGUUCCAGCCAGUGAGCCCAGCAGAGGGGCAGCCCCCGGUGGACGCUUACAGCACACACAAGGGGAGGGCACCUCACGCUGGGUUAACUGCGCCUUCACUCCCUGCAGCCUCCUGGCGCCCACCCGGCGAGCUCACGCGUCUGCUGUUUCCUAAACUCCGUCUUCUGUUGUCCAGAUAAAUGUGCAGCAGGUCACGGUUCAGCCCCAGCAGCGGAAGGGGCCGUUUGCUGCACAGCCCCCGGGCAGGACACCAUGUCUGACGUCCCCUGGGUCUGCAGGUCCCGGGGCCAGGCAUGGGCCCUGUCGAGCCGUGUCGCCCUCACCUUCCGGCCCCUUCUCUCGUGCCACAACCCGCCCUUUCUUUCUUCUUAGAAGUCGGGAAAUGGGACUGCGUAGGCCCAGGUCACAGCCCAGAGUGCCGCCCCUAAAGCCGCCACCUCCCCUCCCUGUGUCGUGCGUCACGAAGGCGGCCAAGGUGCCUCCAGCUGUUGAGCGCAGGCGGCCCUGGUGCCCCUUCCGCGCUGGGGCUCCCAGCAGGUGAGGCCUGAAGGCCCCUCGGGCCCCUGCCGCGUGCUUCUGCUCGCCUCUCACAACUUCUGGGGGCUCUCCCAGGCCCCCGCCAGGAGGGGAGCUGCUGGCGCUCAGUGAAAAUGCUCGGAAAGGUCCACAGUUGUCUUCAGUCGGCUGCCUCUUCCUCGGCACUCGAAUACCAGCUCACGCCUGAACCAUCAGGUGUAAACAAAAAGGCCACGGGAGAGGGGCCGUUUGGCAUUUUCAAGUCCUUGUAAUUCCAGUGAGCCUCUGCGUGUGUGUACUCACUAUUUCUUUCAGCAAAGAGCUUUAUAGAGAUAUAUUCACAUAGCAGAAAAAUCAUGCAUUUGAAGUGCAGGAUUCAGCGGUGUCCAGCAUCGUCACAGGGCUGUGCCACCAUCACCACAGUCACCGCCGAAGGCAACGCCGUCCCCAGUGGCGCAGCCUCUGCUUGUGUGGGUAACGCCGCCGUGAACGUCCGAGAAGGUUUUUUUGUCUCAUUUCUCUUGGGCACAUAGACCUAGGAACGGAAUUGCCAGGUCACGCGGUAGCUCCACGUGGACCAUCUUGAGGAGCCACCGAACUGUUUUCCAGAGCAGCUUCCCAUUUCACGCUCCCGCCAGCAGGGUACAGGCUCCCCCUCCGCGCUGUGCGCUCGCUGCUGCUUGUGAGUCCGUCUGUCCUUGAGCCACACUGGGGUGAGAAGUGGUUUCCCAGCGUGGGGUUUGUUGUUGCUUGUGUUGUAUGGGGGUGACCAGCAGAUAACAGAUUUCCUACUCUAACCACUUCUGAGUGUACAAGUCAGUGCUGGUGUGCUGGCCUCACCAUGCACUCCCCAGAUACUCGGCACCCUGGAAGCAGUAACCCCCCAUUCACUUCCACCCACCCAGCCCCUGGUUGCCUCUCAGCAAUCCUCCGUCCCCAGGAAUUUGCUUGUUUCAUCCGAGUCAUGUCAUACAUACUUGUCCUUUUGUGUCUGGCUUAUUUCACUCAGCACGAUGUCUUCAAGGCUCGUCCAUGUUGCCACAUGUCAGCACUUUAUUCCUCUGUGCAGCUGAAUGAGAUUCCAUCGUACGUGCGCUGUGUUUAUCCGUUCAUCGGCUGGUUGACGUUUGCGCUGCUCCCUCCUCUGGCUGCUGUGGACAGCACUGCUGGGAACGUCCGUCCAGACGUCCGAGUUCGCUGACGCCUGUUCACCCAGUCACUCUUGAGGCAGGACUGACUUCUGCCAUUUUCCUGUUUAGUUUUUUGUGCAUUUUUCUAACUUUUUGUCCCUACUUUUGUGUUCAGUUGGUCUUUUCUAAUGAACUGUUCUGACUCUCUUCCCAUUUCCUUUUGUGUGUGUUGUCUGUGGUCACCGCACAGCUCACAUUUGCCAUCCUCCAUCUGUAACACUCCCGUGUGAAUCAGGGCCGAGCAAACUUGCCCCCCCCCCCAGCCUCCACACCCCCUUCUGCUGUUCUGGUCACAAAUGAUGUCUUCAUAGGCUGUGUGCCUCAAAACGCUGAUUUGUAAGUACUGGUCCCAGUAAGCGGAGCUACAAGCUGGAACCCCAGUGCAGUCCCUGCACGGAGGCCUUGAUUUGGCCGUGUGGCCGCGUGUUGCUGUCUGGUGUCCUUCUGUUCCGACCUGCCGUGCUCCCCACGUCCGGGGCCCCGCCCCCUCCUCAGGUCUUCGGGAUCAUCCUGCUCCACUGCCGUUCCGGAAGCCGGUUCUCGUCCACUGCACACCUGAUCCAGGCAGAGGGCACCGCUUAUGAGUCAUGGUCAGAAUUUUAGUUUCUUUGAUUAACUCAGGAUCUGUUGCUUACUGGGGAUUACUGGUUCCAUCACUCAGUGCGCAUACUGCAGCACUCUCUCAAUCUGGGGGAGACUGGUUGUAGCCCUGUGAGUCCUCAUGUGGCCUCUGGAAAAUGAGAGCAGGACGUUAAGUCCUUCCUAGGCACGGAGCUCUCUUUCCCCUCCAGGUUCAGCCACAGCCAGCGUGUCAGAGCACCAGGGGCAGGAGCAGGUGCAGAUGCUCCCCACGGCAGGGCUCAGUGCUGGUGGCUCCACAGAAAUUAACACGGCAGCAGGUUGUGACAAGUGUCUUGGCACAGCUGCAGGCCUCAGGUGUGCCCAGCAGCCUGCGACAGCCAGAGCUGUGCACCCACCGUCAGGCAGCAGGGCCCCCGGGCACCUGGCUGGGCACACAGGCCUCGGUGAUGCCACAGCGUCGCAGCUGCCUGCCAGGCCCAGCUGAAGGCUUUCGGGGUCACUGGAGGGAAGGGUCUCUGAGUGCUGAGUGGUGGUGGGGCCCCCAGCAGUCCAUCCAUCCAUCAGCAGCAGCUGCCUCCCGUGUCUUGUGCCAUUUCUGGAGUCAUGCGUCAGCUUUCAGGCUCCCUCUGGGUCGUCUCCGCCGUGUCCUGUGUGUGACUCUAUACCAAACGCCUGCUUGUUUUGUAAAAAGCAUGUUGCAUUUCUAUAUGCCUAAGAUGGUUCUAUUGGUUUAGUUCAAGUUCUAAUUUGGGUACCUUUACUGGAUUUUGUUUUGCUCUUCUGAUGUGUAAUUGCUCGUUAUGUAUUCAGUGACAGGAAAUGUGUGAUCUGAGUGCUGAGAAUGUGCAUUUUCCUAUCGUCACUGACCCUAAAGAACCACAGUUCGUGCCUUUUUUUAAAAAAAGUUUAAUAGUAGCAUACAAAUUUUUUGAAAGCAAACUCUUAUAGAGGUGGAUCAAUGCUUCCAGAGCUCGUUUUCCUGUGGUGGGUUUAUUUGCACCUGGGUGGUGAGUGACGAUGACGUCCACGUGCUGCUGCCCACACAGCUGUCUCAGAAAGCGGGUCCGGCUCCGGUGUGAGACGGGCAGCGCGUCCUCUGGCGACCUUUCAAAUCCAGUGUGAUGAACAGGUUGGUGUUUGUGGAAAAGCUGUCCCUGCCGCGGCCAAAACUGCAACAAACACGGUCACAUGUGGUCUUUGGCGGCUGCCCAAUGUUAUCUCCAAAACAGUCUGACCUGCUUUCAGGCCCGACCUGCCGCCAGAAAGCCCCUGUCCCACUGCCGGCGGCUCUCUCGGCCAGUGAGCAAAGUCGCCUCGCUUCCCACAUCAGGAAGAGAUGGUGCAAAUGGCUGAAUCCUCAGCAAACCUUAUUUUUGGCUCACGCGGCAGGCAGAACUCAGGAUUCUUCUGGAAAGUGAGUAAAGAUGGCACCUGUUACCCCAGAAGGGGGAGAGAACCCUCCCUGCUUUAAGGGCCAGCUCACCUGCUCGACUCACCUCUGUCCUCCAGGGCUCGCCCCCAGGCCGCCCUCUGCUUCCGUUCCUCCUGUGGAAAGGGAAGGGUCAGCUCCCAGGGCCGUCCCCCUCCAACCCAAAGGACUUGAGCACACUCGGUUCUGGGGUGCCCAGACAUGCGUUAGGAUUCAGCCACAGGAACGCUGCCGCUGGGGCACCAGGGCCUGCGGGGGACCCGAGCCGGCCUCACCUUGACCGUCUGCUCCAGCUGGGCCAAGGCCUCCUCGUACCGAGGCACCAGCAGCUGCAGGCUCUCGCUGGGGACCUCGUGCCGCUCCAGCUCCGGCACUCCCGCUCCUGUCACCAUCCGGAGGAAUCUAUGCUCCUGGGGGAGAAGCACGAGCAGGAAGGCGUUCUCAGGGCUCCCUGGUGCCUGCUCCCACCCCCCCCGCCCCGGGCUGCUGAGCCGCCUCACCUGCACCUUGAGAAGCAGCGUGAAGGCCCGACCAGCUCUCCCGGCCCGGGCCGUUCUCCCAACCCUGAAGGCAGACAAGUCAGACGGGCAGCGCCAAGGCGGGGGCGUUCACCGGAGGGCACCGAGGACAGCCCCAACCCGUGCAGAGCGCCCCACGGACCCCCACCCCCUCACCGGUGCACGUAGGUCCUCAGGUACUGGGGGGCGUCGUAGUUGAUCACUAGCUGCACGCCCUGCACGUCGAUGCCCCGGGCCGUGGCGUCUGUGCUGACGAGACUGUGCAGACGGGGGACACUGCUGGGACCCAGCCAGACCCUUCCUGGGAACUGGCUGCUGUGGCUUCGGGCUGCAGGCGACCCCGGGGGGGAUCCUGGGCUGACGGGACUGACCCCCACCCAGCGCCCCAGAGGGCAGGACACAGCCGCUCCCCACUCACAGCUGAAUCUUCCCCUGCUCGAACUGCUUCAAGAUGCCCUUCCUCUCCCCAGGCCCGAAGCGGGAGGAGAACUCGGCCACACUCACGCCCCCGAAGGCCUGGACGAGCAGGAAGAGCCUGACAGGACACCAGGGCCCGGUGGGGCCAGAACCCCCCACCCCCGGCCUGCCUUCCCCCACCCUGCCCGGGCCUCACCUGUGGGAGUUCUCGCGUGAGUUGGUAAAGCAGAGGAUCCUCGAGAAGUUCAUCUUCAGGAUCAAGUGCAGGACGGCCAGCGGCUUGGAGCUGAGGCUGCAGGGCACGUAGGAGUGCUGCGGAGACGGCACGCAUUGGCGGGAGCCCCACGCCCAGACCUGGCUGCCCCCUCGCGGGGCGCCCCGCUCACCGAGAGCCCGGGAGGGAAGGCGUACUUCCCGCCCACGUUCCCACUGCUGCCCUCGGGGCUCCUGUGCGCCAGCCCCAAGGAGAAGAGCUGAGGCUGGUAGAGCCCCAGCUGCUGCAGCUUCUCGGGGUUCUGAGUCAGGGUGGCCGAGAAGAGUAGCUUCUGCAGCGGCAUCUGGGGGCAGCAGGUACUGGAAAGGAAGAAGGCAGGACACGGACGCAUGGAUGCCCCUCACGCUCCCUCGUGGGCUGUCCCCUGAGGGCGGAUUCCUGAGGCUGGACAGGAGCCCUGUGGAGACACGGAGCCCGGGGACAGGGCUGAGUACCUGGCAGCAGUCACCACCGGGACCUGCCUCCGCUGCAGUGGUGCCCAGGGACCCGGGGGGCUCUCGCUCCAGAAGGCGGCGGCCACCACGCGCGGUAGCCAGGCCUGGUGCAUGCUGUCGAUCAUGCGGUCAGCCUCGUCGAUGACCUGGGGGGGGGGGUCCUGUGCUCUGGUGAUGCCGGGAGGCCAGUCGGCCCUCAGCCCAGGCCCCAGGGUCCGGCCAACGUACCAGGAAGCGGAGCUGCUGGAGGCUGAAGCCGGGGGUCUGGUCAAUGUGGUCCACCAGGCGGCCGGGGGUGGCCACCACGAUGUCCGCCAGGCAGCGGUAGCCAUCUGCCCUGCACACCAGAGUCGGGCUCAGCACAGGAAGCACUGACCCCCGACACGGCAACGCCGGGACACAGCAGAGCCUGCCGGCUGCUGAGCUCCUGCCAUGUGGGGAACCCCCUGCAGGACCCAAAGCCCAGCUGAACCUACGUUUUUUGGACAAGGCUCUCCUGCUCCUUGGCCAGCGACUUCUGUCCAGUGAUGAGGGCGACUCGCAGAGGCGUGGCAUCUGUGUACACGUUGAACACCUUGCUCACCUGGGGGAGGAGGCUGUCAGCUCCCUGAGCUGUGGGCUUCCCCAGGUCCACCCUACCUGGAACCAGGAGGCCCUGAGCGCAGGGUGCUGCUCCGCCUGGGGACACACACCUGCUGGGCCAGCUCCUUGGUGGGCAGGACAGCCAGAGCCCGCACGUGGCAGACCACUCGGCGCAGCAGGGUCUGUGGGGAGAGGGCCGUGUGUCACCCUGCCCGUCCCCACCCUGCAGCCCUGCCCAAGUCCCCCGCACACUCGCCUGCACUACGGGAAUGACGAACGCCAGUGUCUUUCCGCUGCCCGUCGGAGCGGAAACACAGAGGUCACUGGGGCGGCAGCCACCUCUCCCCACCAAGAGCCCACAGGCCGCGCUCCGCAGCAGGGUGGGGAUCACCGCCGCCUGGACUGCAGACAAGGGCAGCGGUCAGGGGCCACAUGUGUGGAAGACCCGGACGCCUCCGGCCCGUGCGGACUGAGAACAGCACAAAGCCUCGUGACGCACGUCGGCACCACAUGCCUGGGGACAUGCCAGCAAGCAGGCUGCUUGGUGCUACACGCACAGGGGCUGCCCACCGGGGCCACGGCACCUGGGAAGUAGGAGGAGAUGCCUUGCGCCUGCAGCUUCCUGCGCAGCUCAGGGUGGACUUCGGGGAUGUCCUGGAUGGGAACGAGGUCCUGGGGGACAUUCUGUCCACCACAGCUUGGCUUGGCCAACCACUCUGGCAGGAACGGCUGGACCUGUCAGGAAAGAGGGGAAGCAGCAGAAAUCUUACUGCUGACCUUUGGUGAGAUCCAUUUUCCCAGUGUUGCUGCAGUGGCCACGGUUCCUUCCACACUGGGCUCCCUUCUCCGUGGGGCACCACACUGGACCUUCCCAGCUCUGUGGAGCCGAUGCACCACGGGACAGCACAAAUCAGUCUUCAGGCUGCUUUCUGCGGAGGAUCUUGAUGGAGAGGAGGAAAUGCUGAAGGAGCAAGGAAAGGAGGCCUGGGCUCUGAGCAGUCAGUUUCCGACAUGUUUCCUUCUGCCUCAAUGUUCCAGUAAGCCGCCAGACAGAGGUCCCCUGCCAUUUCCCUUCCCUUUUUGGACUGUAACCCCCACCCGGCCACUGUGGAACACCUGCUUCUACCUGCUGUUGCCAAUUUGUGAUUGUUAGAGUGUCAGUAAGGCUCUCGGCUUCCUACUUGCAGAGGUGCGGCAGCUGGUAGCUAGUUCCCACCUCCAGGGGCCCUCCCAGCUCUGCCCGCUGCCUGAAACACGUCUCCCCCGGAUGUCUGCUUUGUGCCUUCAGAUGCCAGCUCCACGUCCCCUUCUCAGGAGAACCUGCACACACACCUCUACCUCACACCAGCCCGGGUGCUCUGCUGACCCUCUCCUGCUCCCCCUGAGAACCAUCACCCAAGGACUUUGCAGUGUGUUAGAAGAAAUAAAACAACACAGUUUCUAUGGUGGGGAGGUCCCCCUGGAGGUUCCCCGUGGGCAGGUCUCAGUGCACAGAGCCGCAAGCGCCAACGCUCCUCAGAACCCCAGGACAGCCGGACGCCACAUGCCGACCACGGGAGGAACGACUCGGCUCACUCUCCAACCCGAAGGACAAUGAGGGCACCUCAAAAAAGUCCACCACCCACAAACAUCUCAUCUGCUUUCCCUAUUAAAAACCCUUACCUGGAAAUGCUAAGACAGGACACAAUUUGGGCGGCUACCUGAAUCUCUGCCCCCCGAAUGGCAAGUCUGUGUCCCCAAAUAAAUGCCUUUGUGGUCCUGCAGCCUGGCUCAUUCCUCUCAGCUGACAUUACAUGGGCUCCGAAGAAACCACCGGCCUGACUGGACUCUGCAGCCGCCGCUGGGUCUGAGCACGGUGCUAGCAGAGUCUGUGCGCUCUGUCACCUCCCCGGUGGCCCCCUCAGCAACACUCCUCCCUCUUUUUCAUUGAGAGUCUGGCUUUCAGGGUGUUCUGAACUUCGGUUGUUUUGGUUUGGGCUGGUUACAGAAUCCGGGCUGGUGGCAGAGGCCCGUUUGCAUUUGCCCUUCUGUGUAUACAAGGAAAAUUUCCUUGUCCAGUGAGUACUCAAAAGAAACUUGGAACAUUCCCACUGUGGUAAGGAGCUCUUUUCAGUAGAGGGCUGCCUCCCCAGCAACCCAUUUCACCUCUGCUCUGACUGUGAGAAACCAAGAACUAUUCUGGUGGGCACAGGUCAGACCUUUGAGCACUAAGAGCAGCCGCCACCGUUCGAUGAGUGCCAGGAGCCCUACACCAGUCCCAGGGACUUAUGGGCCCAGGGCAGAGAGGGAUGUGGGGAAUCUGAGCUGAAGGCUUAGACACGUACUGCACUCCCAGGGUAUUCCAGCUGUAGUCCCAGAAUGGCUGCGAGUACUGGGUCUUGAAGCCAUCUUCCCUGCCAAACUGCACAGGGCACAAACCCCACUAAAGGGCUGGCACUCCCAGCUACACACAGGAAACUGGUGCACUGACUGGACAUCCACAUGGUUUGGACCCCCACUCGCUGCAUAAACGCAGUUGAGGAGAACUGGAUUGAGGGUAAGAGGUGGCUUGGGAGUGCCACCUGCUGGUAGGUCAGGGGAAGUGCACUGCACCAAGCUGUAACUCUGUCAAAUUAUGGAUAAUUGUUUAAAUAAGUCUGCAUAUCCUAAUAGAAUCAAGAUAAGCAAAUGGCAAGAAGCCAAAAACAACAGAAAAUUAUAAAGAAGAUGAAGAAACCAGACAAUA